UAGAAUCUCACGUGGAAAGACUAGUUGCAUGUGUUCCGCGUGCCGUGGUUCGAUUGCGCAGCCUUCCCGGUGAAUACGGUCGUUGGUAUUCACAGGCAGCGUUGUCCGAUUACAGUACGCGUAGCGCGCUUGUAUAUAAACUCGCCAUGGCUUCUACAUUCAGCAUCAAUUGACGGACGAAGAGUUCUUCAGAUAAAACAUGAUCAGCAUCAAGACCCUCCUUGUCGGGCUCCUCGUCCUGGCUUUGGUAUUCAACAUCGCCAUGGCACAAUACGGAGGCUUCGGUGGUGGUGGACGCGGUGGCGGCGGUCGCGGUGGCGGUGGACGCGGCGGUGGACGCGGCGGUGGACGUGGCGGUGGUGGACGCGGUGGUGGCGGACGCGGUGGUGGCGGACGCGGUGGCGGGCGUGGAUUUGGCGGCUACAACGGAUGAUUCCCGGCUACCACGCUGACGCGUCACUCUGUGCUUAACAGCGUGGAGGUCGAGUGGCCAACCAAAUAAUGUGAUUUGCGAGAGGCCUGCGGGAUCCGGCUGGACCUGUGAUCGCGGACCUUCGAGAUGUUGAUGUGCUUCUGUUGAACAUGACCCCGAAUAAACAUUGCUUUCCUUGACUGGCACCCACA